rnacentral:lncRNA from 1 species
UUACAGAGAUACAUUACAGAGAUACAGACACAUUACAGAGAUACAGACACAUUACAGAGUUACAGACACAUUACAGAGACACAUUACAGAGAUACAGACACAUUAUAUAGAUACAGACACAUUACAGAGACAUUAUAUAGAUACAGACACAUUACAGACACAUUACAGAGACAGACACAUUACAGAGAUACAGACACAUUACAGAGACAUUACAGAGAUACAGACACAUUACAGAGAUACAGACACAUUAUAUAGAUACAGAGACAUUACAGAGACACAUUACAGAGAUA